GCAAAUCAUCUCUGCUGAGCACGGUCUCGAUGGCUCUGGUGUCUACAAUGGCUCCUCCGACCUCCAGUUGGAGCGUAUGAACGUCUACUUCAACGAGGCCUCCGGCAACAAAUACGUCCCCCGUGCUGUCCUCGUCGACUUGGAGCCCGGUACCAUGGACGCCGUCCGCGCUGGUCCCUUUGGUCAGCUCUUCCGUCCCGACAACUUUGUUUUCGG
rnacentral:rRNA from 1 species